UAAAACGGUGCAAAUCAAUUAUCCUACAUUUACCCUAUCCCCUCUAUUCCUUAGCCACCCAAUUCAUUCAUUACACUCUUCAUCUUCUCUCACUUACCUCACCGGUGGAUUGCUCACCAAUCUCACCAGAGAUUCUACUUUGUCACUCACUCUCAUCGACACUUCUAGUUUCUCCCUCAAUCACCCUAGUACCCACUCAUCACCUACUCACCCUUGUCGGCGUUCGGGUCUAGGUUCAACCAAAAGUCUCACCGUUCCACCGAUCUAACGGCUAACCUAUGUGCUCACCACCGCCUUCACUCGCCGACUAUCACUGUCAAAGCUAAGGAUAAAAGAUAUAAAUUUUGAAGUGAUAGUGUAAAACAAUGAUCUCAUAGAAGUUUUCCUUUAGUAGCAUGCGGAAUCCUCCACUUAAGGGCUACUGGACAUCAAUGAAAGGAGUUGCUUCAGUCUUCUAUCUCAAAGCUGCUGCUGCUGUUGCUUUUGCUGUUUUAGUUGCUGCUGCUCGUGUUGUUGCUGCUGCUACUCCUGUUGUUGUUGUUGCUGCUGCUACUACUUGUGCUGUUUCUGCUGCUGCUACUGCUACUCGUGCUAUUGCUGCCUACUUAACGCUAUUUAUGUUGAUGCCUUAGCCGUUGCUGCCCAAUCGACACCAUUAUUGUUGUUGCCUUCUAUACUUCUUUGGUUAUUAAAUCUCAGAGUUCAUAAUAUUGUCUGUUGUGGCUGUGCUCCUGCUGUAUUAUGUUAAGCUUCUGUAAUUUCUAAUGCUGUCCAAUUGUAAUUUUUAUUUUUAUGAUGAAAGUGUACUUUUACAGGCUAUUAUUAAUGGAAAUAUAAUUUUUUUUAUACAAUUGCAAAUAA